CCUACGGGUGGCAGCAGUAGGGAAUCUUCCACAAUGGACGCAAGUCUGAUGGAGCAAAGCCGCGUGAGUGAAGAAGGGUUUCGGCUCGUAAAGCUCUGUUGGUAGUGAAGAAAGAUAGAGGUAGUAACUGGCCUUUAUUUGACGGUAAUUACUUAGAAAGUCACGAGUAACUACGUGCCAGCAGCCGCGGUAAUACGUAGGUGGCAAGCGUUGGCCGGAUUUAUUGGGCGUAAAGCGAGUGCAGGCGGUUCAAUAAGGCUGAUGUUAAAGCCUUCGGCUCAACCGGCGAAUGGCAUCAGAAACUGGUGAACUUGAGUGCAGAAGAGGAGAGUGGAACGCCAGGUGUAGCGGUGGAAUGCGUAGAUAUAUGGAAGAACACCAGUGGCGAAGGUGGCUCUCUGG
rnacentral:rRNA from 1 species